UACGGAGGGAGCUAGCGUUGUUCGGAAUUACUGGGCGUAAAGCGCACGUAGGCGGCUUUGUAAGUUAGAGGUGAAAGCCCGGGGCUCAACUCCGGAACUGCCUUUAAGACUGCAUCGCUUGAAUCCAGGAGAGGUGAGUGGAAUUCCGAGUGUAGAGGUGAAAUUCGUAGAUAUUCGGAAGAACACCAGUGGCGAAGGCGGCUCUCUGGGACGGUACUGACGCUGAGACGCGAAAGCGUGGGGAGCGAACAGG
rnacentral:rRNA from 1 species